rnacentral:rRNA from 1 species
UGGGGAAUUUUGGACAAUGGGCGAAAGCCUGAUCCAGCAAUGCCGCGUGUGUGAAGAAGGCCUUCGGGUUGUAAAGCACUUUUGUCCGGAAAGAAAUCCUUGGCUCUAAUACAGUCGGGGGAUGACGGUACCGGAAGAAUAAGCACCGGCUAACUACGUGCCAGCAGCCGCGGUAAUACGUAGGGUGCAAGCGUUAAUCGGAAUUACUGGGCGUAAAGCGUGCGCAGGCGGUUUGCUAAGACCGAUGUGAAAUCCCCGGGCUCAACCUGGGAAUUGCAUUGGUGACUGCACGGCUAGAGUGUGUCAGAGGGGGGUAGAAUUCCACGUGUAGCAGUGAAAUGCGUAGAGAUGUGGAGAAAUACCGAUGGCGAAGGCAGCCCCCUGGGAUAACACUGACGCUCAUGCACGAAAGCGUGGGGAGCAAACAGGAUUAGAUACCCUGGUAGUCCACGCCUUAAACGAUGUCAACUAGUUGUUGGGGAUUCAUUUCCUUAGUAACGUAGCUAACGCGUGAAGUUGACCGCCUGGGGAGUACGGUCGCAAG